rnacentral:misc_RNA from 1 species
UUGCGUUAGGGAUUGAAGUGGAUACCGGCCUGUGGCUAAGGCCUGUGCAGUAUGAACGUAAAGCCCGGCCCGAA